AACAAGGCGUACCUGCGGACCUGCGGAAGGAUCAUUACAGAGUUGCAAAACUCCCUAAACCAUUGUGAACGUUACCUAAACCGUUGCUUCGGCGGGCGGCCCGGGUCCUUCCCGGCGCCCCUCGGCCCUCGCGGGCGCCCGCCGGAGGUAAACCAAACUAUUGCAUUGUAUGGCCUCUCUGAGUCUUCUGUACUGAAUAAGUCAAAACUUUCAGCAAUGGAUCUCAGAUCGGAAGAGCAC
rnacentral:misc_RNA from 1 species